UUCUUAUUGGAUUAUGACUGCCACAUGUCAUGUUCUGAUUGGUCAAUGAAAACAACAAUGCAUUUCAUCUUUCAUGGAGUUGACAUCCAAUUAUAACAUGACACGUGACAAUCAUCAUCC
rnacentral:pre_miRNA from 1 species